rnacentral:tRNA from 1 species
GGAUAGGUAUUUAAAAGUAUAAUGUUUGAUUUGCGUUCAAAAGUUGAGUUUUCUCUAUCUU